UACAGAGGGGGCAAGCGUUGUUCGGAAUUACUGGGCGUAAAGCGCACGCAGGUGGCUGAGUCAGUCGAUUGUGAAAGCCCUGGGCUUAACCUGGGAAUUGCAGUCGAUACUACUCAGCUAGAGUAUGGGAGAGGGUAGUGGAAUUCCCGGUGUAGCGGUGAAAUGCGUAGAUAUCGGGAGGAACAUCAGUGGCGAAGGCGGCUACCUGGCCCAAUACUGACACUCAGGUGCGACAGCGUGGGGAGCAAACAGG
rnacentral:rRNA from 1 species